rnacentral:snRNA from 1 species
GUGCUCACUUCAGCAGCACAUACACUAAAACUGGGACAAUACAGAGAAGAUUAGCAUGGCCCCUGUGCAAAAAAGGACCCCAGGCCACUCUACUAAUUUGG